UUAGUCAACUCGAUACGAGUUGAUGGUCUAGGGAUCCGAUCUCAACCCACCCGAUUAUUCAAAUAGAAAAAUGGAAGACCCCGUCAAACAAAGAAUGAUGCGCACCCAAAUUCAUCAUCCAAAUUCCAGAUAAGAGAGAACAAAUCCUCUUUCCACUUCUCCAGAUUCAAUUCGAUUCGAUUAAAAGUCAACUGCGCCUUAUUAUGAUCCAAGGACCUACAUGAUGCGUUAUGCCAAUGCUGAAGUCUUUAAGCUCAUCAGAUCACUUCCUAAUGAUCAUGUACAGCGGUAUCUGACUCUUAGGAAUGCUGCUGUUGUCCUCAAGUAGUUUUCCUUCCGUUCAACGAGCCUCUGUUUAACUACUUGUGGUGUUGCCAGAAUCGUCAUUUGAGAGUGAUGAAGAUUAUCCGUUUUUGCAAGCAGGACUAUGUUCGUCAAUCACAAAGUUAUGCAAUUUGUAAUCUGAAUCAAAGUAGCGCUAAGAUUGCGCAUCUGAUUCUUGAAUAUAUGUUGAUGCAUUACUCAUAGAGUCAUAGUUGGCUAUUGGGUUUAGAAUUUAGAGAUGUAUAUGUUAGCUUACUUCCUCCGUUUAUUUUUACUCGCUACACUUUCCAUUAUGGGAAGUUUCACAUUACUUGCUACACUUCUUUUUUGGGCAAUAAACUCUCUCUAUCUCUCUCCUCCCACAUGGGUCCCUUUUCUUUUUACUUUCUACCUCUCUCUUCUCCAAAAAUUGCCUAGGAAUCCGUGAAAUGAGAAGUGUAGCGAGUAAAAAGAAACGGAGGAAAUAGUUGGAUAUUUGUAAUUUUAGAGACUGGUAUGAUUCAUAAUAAGCUCUAAUGUGAUCCUGACCUGACAUAUUGAUGGAUUAACUUUAAUAGACUUUGUAGUUUGUAUCGUUUUCUAGAUUCAAGCGGCCUCUUAAGUACAUGGUUAUGAGCUUGUGUGUAAUUUUGCAAGCAAAGUGGCUUGUGAUUAUUCAUCUUAAUUGUUAAUGAAGUACUUUCCAACUCCCAA